CUCACAAGGACGAAGCUGGUUCGGCAGGAUGCAGGAACAGCGCAUAAACAGGGAAUAACCUACAGGACGUGGUCAGGGAUACCUCAGGAUGAGGCAGAGCAGCAGGGAUUACCGCUCUUCAGGAAGAACAGGACCUCGCCGGAUGCGAGCAGGACAGCUUCAGGAUGAAGCGAGAUAGCCCGGAUGGUUAUCUGCCAGGACGGCGCAAGGAACACCACAGGAUGUGGUAAGGGACACCUCCAGGAUGGAGAGAGUGCAGCAAUCAGGAACGAUUGCCAGACCAGGAUGGUCACAGGACACCUCAACGGAUUGGGAAGGGGAUAUUCCGAAGGAUCAGGAUAAAGUCAGGGAUCGCAGGGAGCAUUGCAGUUCAUGGACUGGACUAGAUGACUUG
rnacentral:misc_RNA from 1 species